GAAGUAGCAGCUUAUUUUGGGAUUUUUGGGCUUUUGGAUCACUGCACAAAAUACUUUUUGGCAUCCUGAGGUGAAUGGUACCGCCUCCCUGGAUAGUAGUGAACGAUCAUGCACUGGUUAUACAAGUUUUUUGCUGCCUCAAUGUUCCAGAUUUAACAGGGUACAUCAAAAUCUCCCUAUUCUCUGGUUUUUGAAAUACAGAAAAAUGACUACUAAGCUUGGGAGUUCAACUCUAUCUCAUUGCUGAAGAUAGGUUAGGAUAUGCUUGUGUUGUACUUAAAGAUACAAACAAUGCUUAUAUUUUGAGGUACUAUGUGUCUACUGCUUGAAGAUGGUUUUUACCAGAUAAUGUAUUUGUGCCUUCUGCACAUGUUGGAAAUAUAUUAAAGUAUGCUACUACA